AGAGUCAGCGAGGUGGUUGCAGGUGGCAGAUAGCCAACCUGAGGAAAGUCCGGGCUCCCGAAAGACCAGACUUGCUGGGUAACGCCCAGUGCAGGUGACUGUGAGGAUAGUGCCACAGAAACAUACCGCCGAUGGAGCUAUUUCUGGCUCACAGGUAAGGGUGCAAGGGUGUGGUAAGAGCGCACCAGCAGCAUCGAGAGGUGCUGGCUCGGUAAACCCCGGUUGGGAGCAAGGCUGAUGGAACCUGGGUUGGUCUUUUUCCCGGUUCCGCGAUCGAAACCGCUAGAGGCGACUGGUAACAGGCGUCCCAGAUAGAUAACCGCCCUGUUGGUUGACCCCAACUGACAGAACAGAACCCGGCUUAUGUCUGACUCUCUCC
rnacentral:RNase_P_RNA from 2 species